CCGAAGGAGGGAGCUGUUGGAUGACUGACAAGCUUCUGCCACCAAAUGACUUCAGACUUACACAAGUUAUAUAGUAGCUCCAUGUAAGCUAAGGUACAGGUUAGUGUAGUGAAUCAAAUGCAUCAGGGUGGGGUCCUGGAAAGCUGAAGACUCCAUGGUCAGGUUGGCGGGAGGUUCACAGCGCUUAAUACGCCCUAAUAGGAUUACCUGUCACAAGCCGGGAUGCCCAGCUUGCAUCUCAGCUGGUGACACUAUUCACAGCAAGCACAGGGAACACACUGUCCACGGCUAUGUUUAUCCUUAUUGUUUGUUUCCAUGAAAGUUUUCGAAUUUAGUUCAUUUAUUUUUCCAGUAGAUAAACUCUCUAUGGGGUGAUGUGUUGACAUUUACAUAGUGUGGCUUUAAUCAAGUCUAAUGGGGCUGCUGGAUAAACUCUCGGGCUGGCUGGGCCUGAGGAAGAAAGAAGUCAACGUUUUGUGUUUGGGGCUCGAUAACAGCGGCAAAACCACCAUCAUCAACCAACUCAAACCAUCCAAUCAUUCGAAUCAUUUAGGCCCAUUGUCAGGAGAAUGGAAACAUGCUAGUCAGACGCAGACACAAGAAAUAGUCCCAACAAUUGGCUUCAACAUUGAGAGGUUCAAGAGUUCAAGCCUGUCAUUUACAGUCUUUGAUAUGUCUGGGCAGAGCAGAUAUAGAAACCUAUGGGAGCAUUGUUACAAAGAAAGCCAUGCCAUCAUAUUUGUCAUCGACAGCGGUGACAAACUGAGGAUGGUUGUUGCCAAAGAGGAGCUCGACACUCUACUCAAUCAUGAAGAUAUCCGCAAUAGAAAGAUGCCUGUCUUGUUCUUCGCCAACAAGAUGGAUCUGAGGGACGCCAUGUCUUCUGUCAGGGUCUCACAGUUGUUGUCUCUGGAGAACAUCAAAGAAAAACCCUGGCACAUCUGGUAUUUCACACCAGUCUUUAGUUCAUUUCUUCUGAUUCUGUUUUCAAAGGAAUAUUUUGCCACCACCAGAGGUAUUGUUGAGUCGUGGGCUCUGGCUACUGUUAUGUAGUCUUGAAGUAACACGCAACAUGUUGUGCUUCUAGAGUUUAGGCUUAAAGUCUUAAAUAGAAACAAUAAAGAUACCAUGGAUGUUUACUCACUUCUUCCUUGGCCUUUUUCCAAUAUCUGCAUGUUCAUGUUCCAGGUUCAACCUUAUUGAGGCACAGCAACAGGAAGUUAUUUAAAAGCCUGGUUAGUACUGUAUACGUGUGUUUACCACCUUGUUUACUCAUUAGACAGAUGGAAGGCAGAUGGAUUAAGAGCUAGAAAGCUUUAAACAUCAAGGGUCCAAAAAAAGUCAAGAGAAAGCGAACAUGUGUGACGGGGAGAUUAACUUCUGGUCAUCUUCUUAUUUUCUCAGUGCUAGCGAUGCUAUCAAAGGAGAGGGUCUACAGGAAGGGUUGGACUGGCUACAUGAACAAAUUUCACAAAUACAUGAAAACAGUGAAAACGUGAAUAAUUGAAAUGUCUGUGACCAUGGC